GGGGAUGUAGUUCAGAAGCGUUAGAACGCUGCCCUGUCACGGCAGAGGUCGCGGGUUCGAGUCCCGUCAUUCCCGCCA
rnacentral:tRNA from 1 species